AUUCUCGUAUUUCAAGAAUUUUGAAUUUGCGCAGUGGUGAUUAUCCUAGCUCUAGUACGCUGCCUUUGCACGAUCUCACAGUGAAGUUUUUUUAUUUACCACUAAAAAUGGUACAGGUGAAGAACUUGAGGCCUACUUUUGAAGAAUUUAAGCAGUUGCCUCUAGAUGGUUUUUUAUAGGAUCUUUCAAUUGACCGUGCCUCGGUGAAGCCUACUUUUGAUGUUGGUUCUUCUUCAAGAGAGAAGGUUUCUCCUGACAUUGAACCUUUGAAAGAGAAGGUUUUUGAUAUCAUUUGUAAUCAAAAGAAGAUGUUUGAUGAUUUUGCUCUUUUGAGAGGUUUUGUUGAGGUUAAUUUUAGGAAAGUAUUGUUUGCAAUUAAUGAUUUUAAGAGAAAAGUCACUGAUUUUUGUGACAGGGCUCAUGUUCA